rnacentral:rRNA from 1 species
AACGAACGCUGGCGGCAGGCCUAACACAUGCAAGUCGAGCGCCCCGCAAGGGGAGCGGCGGACGGGUGAGUAACGCGUGGGAACGUGCCCCUUUCUACGGAAUAGCCUCGGGAAACUGGGAGUAAUACCGUAUAAGCCCUACGGGGGAAAGAUUUAUCGGGAAGGGAUCGGCCCGCGUUGGAUUAGGUAGUUGGUGGGGUAAUGGCCUACCAAGCCGACGAUCCAUAGCUGGUUUGAGAGGAUGAUCAGCCACACUGGGACUGAGACACGGCCCAGACUCCUACGGGAGGCAGCAGUGGGGAAUCUUAGACAAUGGGCGCAAGCCUGAUCUAGCCAUGCCGCGUGAGCGAUGAAGGCCUUAGGGUUGUAAAGCUCUUUCAGUGGGGAAGAUAAUGACGGUACCCAGUAAAGAAACCCCGGCUAACUCCGUG